CAUGUGUCUGCCUGUUCUCUGUGCCAGCUGAGAGACAAGUGAUGCCAUGCUCCAGGAGCUCUGCUGAGGCGUGGGGGGAGGAGGGGUAAGGAAGGGAGGAUGAGGGGAGAAAAAGAGGGAUGGAGAAAGUGAGCAAAGAGUGGGAGAAGCAGAGCGAAGAAAGUGGGAAGACAGAGAAAUCGGAUGAGCAGGGACACAGGGAGUGAGGGACAGGAAGGAUUCAGCAUGGGAAGACAGGAGAGAGAGAGAGAGAGAGAGAGAGAGAGAGAGAGAGAGAGAGAGAGAGAGAGAGAGAGAGAGAGAGAGUGAGCAUCGAAGGAAGAAAGGAGGUUGGAAAGAUAGCAAACAUACCGUAGAUGAAGCUUUGGGAGGAGCGCAACACUGAGAAGCAUCAGCGCUGUCAGAGCAUGUUCAGCCUGCAGGGACAGCCGGGGGGUCAGCUGUCACAGUCAGCCACCAGUUUAAAAGCACAAGGUUUCCACACUGAAGUCAGCUGGGAGCCACCUUGGCAUAGACGGAAUACACCUGUGACUGACGUCCACCUGUCCCACCCUGCAGAAGAAAGGUUAAACCGUGGUUUGUCUGUGUGACCUGUUUCCCAUCAGAUCAUCAGCCUUUAAAACGUGAAAGCAGAGCUCCUGUGUGCAAACUGCCCCCCAGUGGAGAGACUGAAAUACACGCAGAGUUGUCCCAGUAUUUCCUCAUGUGGCCACCCGAGCUUCUGCUCUAGCAAUUCGAAUGAAGUUAAUCCCAGACAGAACUGGGCUGCAGAGUGAAGUGCCAGCGACUGUCCACUGUGGCUACAUGCUCAUCCAGGAGGAAUAAAUGACUCGAUGGAAUCGGCUACAUUUCCUUAAAUGGAAGACUUUUGAACCAAUCUGAAUAAUAAACUGAAAUUGACUUGGAA